GUUCUGAAAAACAGACACAUUCCCUCCAGAAUAAUGGAAACAGGCUGGUUACAGACAUGAUGGACUUUAACCAGAGUUAUUGAGAAGUUUGACCACUUUAAAGAGAGGAGCUACUUUUCUUUACAUAUAGUGGGUCUACUCUGUCAAACAGUUAGAAAUGCACUCUGUCAUUUCUUGUUUUCAAUGUAUUGUAUUUUAUUUUUGUUUGUUGUUCAACGAUAUUAUUGAGUGUUUGUGAAUUUUAUUUUAAUGAGCUAUUUUUAUAUAGCGUUAUUUUUAAAAAUCUGUUUCCUGCGGAAAUUGCUUUCCAUCUGUUGCACUUCCUGCUCCUGAGUCCGUCUUUCCGUCACAAUGGUUUUAUAUUGCCGAGGAAUAAAUAAGUGCUGGGAAAAUCCACCAUCUGAGCCGACUUCUUCCAUGCCCGUUCCACAUCAGUUACAUCUGCUCUGAACCUCUUUCAUGUGAGGGUGAAACUCUUUUAUUGUGUAAACCUCUGAAACCCAACCCAAUGUUCCUUAAAGCUGCUCUGAACCUCUCAUGCCCAAAGUUACAGUGUGUUGAUAGUUGUUGUUGGACAGUGUUGAGCACGCUGUGUUCUUGAAAUAAAGCUUUGUUUUUUACAAUAUUCUA